rnacentral:misc_RNA from 1 species
GGUGAAGAACGUAGCGAAAUGCGAUAAGUAAUGUGAAUUGCAGAAUUCAGUGAAUCAUCGAAUCUUUGAACGCACAUUGCGCCCGUCAGUAUUCUGGCGGGCAUGCCUGUUCGAGCGUCAUUACGCCCCUCAAGUCCCCUGUGGACUUGGUGUUGGGGAUCGGCGAGGCUGGUUUUGCAGCACAGCCGUCCCUUAAAUUAAUUGGCGGUCUCGCCGUGGCCCUCCUCUGCGCAGUAGUAAAACACUCGCAACAGGAGCCCGGCGCGGUCCACUGCCGUAAAACCCCCCAACUUUUUAUAGUUGACCUCGAAUCAGGUAGGACUACCCGCUGAACUUAAGCAUAUCAAUAAGCGGAGGA